CACACUCAGUGCAACUCUGAGCCCUUAUCCAGCCCGAGCUCAACACUUAUCUGCUACCAGUCAACCCCUAAAAAUAGCCCAUGAUGUCACCCCAAGGCCUUCCCAUUGGCUCGCGUCGCUCUCAGGGGGGCGGGCCCGCCCGUCACCAUGGAGACUCCACCCUAGAAGAUUCUUCUCUGGGCCCGCGGAGGCUCACGGGAUGAGGUAAUGCUCCGCUGGCAUUGUGGGCUGACGUCUUGGGGUUUGACUGUCUAGUGACGGU
rnacentral:lncRNA from 1 species